UCAAAUUUGCAGGAGCUGCAGCAGCAUGAAAAGUUCCUUCAUCUAGCAUUGAAAUCGCUCGAGACCUGUAAUCCAAGCUUCUGUUCAUCCAGGUGAGUCCCGUCGCCAUCACCCUUUGGUUCAAGCCUCUUAAGCCCUUGUGUUUUUUGUGAGAUGCAGACAGUUUCUGUCAAGGGGCUAAGGUCUGAUCGUAUGCCUGAUCUUAAUCCGCAUUUUCUUUUCUUGUCAAUCUGCGAUGAUGAGUAAAUAGUUCUACGGUGCUUGCUUAUGAUAGCUGAUAACUGAUAUCUCCACAAAGUAUCAUGGACCUAGCAAACCCAUGGAAGCAUACUGAAUAAAAUCCAUGUUUUGAUUGUGGUAAAUUGAAGUCGCAUAUUCACACUGUUAUUUCAAAAAAUAAGAGUAGUGUUUGAAAAUUUAACAAUGGACAUAUUCUUUUGCUAAUAUUGGAAACUUACUAUAAUCAUCUAAAGAUACUUCUCCUGCUGAUACUACGCAUAAAUUAUGUACAAAGAGUGAUAUUCCUUUUAGCACACAUGGUCAGUCCUAACUAUGAUGAAAAGCUGAUCUCUAGGGCCAUAGCUCUAGAUGAAUAGAAAUAGGUUUCUUAUUCUGUAGUUAGCACUUUUGUCUAUUUUAUUUAUAUUAUAUAAAUAAUAACCAAUAGUAUAUGGAUGUAGUUUGUCUUGGAUGGUACUACUAUGCACACUAUGCAGCUAAGAAGUAAGCCUUUUGCUUUAUUAAUUAGUCAAUUUUUUGAUAACCUGUAAUUUUUCAAAUGUGUUACCUUCACUGAUAAACCUAUAACUUAUUUGUCCUCAAAUCUGCAGGAGCUGCAGCAGCAUAAAAAGUUCCUUCAUCCAGCAUUGAAAUCGCUCGAGACCUAUAAUCCAAGCUUCUGUUCAUCUAGGUGAGUCCCGUCGCCAUCACCCUUUGGUUCAAGCCUCUUAAGCCCUUGUGUUUUUGUCAGAUGCAGCCAUGGACAGUUUCUGUCAAGGGGCUAAGGUCUGAUCGCAUGCCUGAUCUGUACAACACAUUAAUCUUAAUCCGCAUUUUCUUUUCUUGUCAAUCUGCGAAGAUGAGUAAAUAGAAUCUUUUUGUAUGAAAAGAAGGAAUACCCUUGAUUUAAAUUGUUUAUUUAUUGGACCCUUACUCUUUGCUGCUGCAAGUAUACCUUUUAUUUUAAGCUACAUUUAUUCAUGCAGGUGCUUGCUUAUUAAAUAGAUUUUUUUGUAUGAAAAGAAGCAAUGCCUUUGAUUUAAAUUGUUUAUUUAUUGGA
rnacentral:lncRNA from 1 species